rnacentral:rRNA from 1 species
UACGAAGGGGGCUAGCGUUGCUCGGAAUCACUGGGCGUAAAGGGUGCGUAGGCGGGUCUUUAAGUCAGGGGUGAAAUCCUGGAGCUCGACUCCAGAACUGCCUUUGAUACUGAAGAUCUUGAGUUCGGGAGAGGUGAGUGGAACUGCGAGUGUAGAGGUGAAAUUCGUAGAUAUUCGCAAGAACACCAGUGGCGAAGGCGGCUCACUGGCCCGAUACUGACGCUGAUGCACGAAAGCGUGGGGAGCAAACAGG